GUGAAUGUAAAGUGGCAUUUUCUUUUUUAAAAACGCUGCUGUUUUAUUCUUUAUACAAACUAAAACACCAGAGGUCAUUGAAUCCUAUAGUAAAUACAUAAAUUAAAAAAUAACCAUUCAUAAAACUUUACAUACAAUAAGGAUUCUCUUCUACACGUUAAUACAUAUAGUACAGAUACAUGUCCAGUGUUUAUCAAAGGGUCAUUCCGCCAAGUCAUUUACAAUUCUGUUCUGGAACAGACACCAAAAGAGUUGUGAACAAAAAGUACAUAAAAAACCACCCGGGUGCUGAUGGGAGGGAAAGGAAAAACGCUUUGAAUCACCAGGAGCUGCGUGGCUGUUCCUGAGCCCUGCCCAAGGAGCAGGGGAGCCUGGUCUGCCCAGGAAGCUUCAGGGGGGCAAAGGGUGUUUCCUACCGAGAUGAGGGCAGGAAGCGGGAAAAUGAGGAACACCUACAAAAAAGUCUCCAUAGUUGUCCCAGCACAUCAGUAAGAGAGGAUGGAGCUGGGAGCCAGGCUGGUCACAGUGCAAGAAGCCUCCUGUGACCCCCAGUGCCUAAAUCCAUCUCACCUAACUGGGCCCUCAUCUGGAAUGCUUAGUUGAAAGAAGAGUGUUCAAAAUCUCCUGACUUGGUCAGCAGAGAAAAAGCAGCCACUCAGAUUUUGGCCAACCUGACUUGCACUACAUUACAUGGCUCAUCUGACAGCAUGGAUAGCCUGGAGUACUCAUGCCACAGGCCAGGACGGAUGGAUGGGGAGGAGGAAUCCAGGGCUCCAUUUGCUGUCCUCAAAAGCUGCAAUAAAUUGGUUUUUAUUUUGUUGGUUAGUUUGGGGAGGGUUGACUGCAGUGAGUGAUUUCAGGGAGGAUUCUCAGUACUUUGCCUCAGUGAAUGUCAGGAACAGCAGAAAGCCCUGGAUAAACAGCUUCAGGACAGACAAGGGGUGAGAUCCCAGAAAAACAGAUCCAAAACCUAGUUGCCCAUGAGCUGUAAAACUAAACCACAAGGAGUGCACCGGCUGUAGCAGCUAAACGAGUCUAGAUUCAGUUCCCCAUACCUAGAUUGGAAGUACACUUCCAUAAGCUAUAGCAACGAUUUACUAUAUACAAUAGGGAAUAGAUAAAUGCAUAUGUAUGUAUAUAUAUGUACAUAUACAUAUAUAUUGUAUAUAGAUACAUGUAUAUAUACACACAAAAACAUCAAACUCAUUUUGAUCUGGCUGAUAGCAGAAGAUUUGUAUUACUUGUAUCAGCAAGUGUGUUUUAGGCAUGGCUUAUGUUACGCUGCAAGCAGAGUAAAGCAGCUGCUCAGCUCUCUGGCGGGAAUACUCAAUCUUUUAUGAGUUUGCAGACCAAGGUAAGCUGUGGACUGAUACCACCCCCAGUCACCCGGAGCCCUUGGAAUGCAGCACCUGCAGGCGUACAUGUACGGAAGGGUAAAGGAGGGGAAAUUAGGCAAAAAGAGAUAAAUGAAGACGUGCACAGCACGGUUCAGAGGGCCUAACUGAUGAAGCCUACCGCAAGAUCAGUCCGUGUGUUCUGAAACAUGGGAUUUCUACCUGCCAUGACCCUUCCCUAUGACUGCCUGUAACCAACUUUUAUAAUCCUCCUUUUUUUUUUUUUUAACCAAGCAGAGGUGGAAGCUUUUGCUCUGUCACAGAAAACAGGCGCUGCUCAUUCUACAGGAAGAGCUCAAUGGUUCAAUUGCUGGCUCUAAUGCUGGGGCAAAGAACGUCCAGCCUGUUUCACCUCGCAGGACACUGCAGCCAAGUGGAAGAAUGGACUGCUACUGCAACAGGGGAAAAUAACAGUGAGAGGUGCUAGAGGGAAUAACCAGAGAAGAAACUCCCGUUUGUAGCUAAUAAGAUGUUGUGAAGUUGCUCAGUGAUCUAAAGGUGUCACUGGUGUGGAUGAGACUCCCAAAGGGGCUGACUCCAGAGCUUCAGGAUGAACCGCUAGCAGCACUCUUGGAAAGCACAUGUAGGUUUGGGACAACUUUAACCACAGAUUCUUCUGGGGGCAAGAGUUUGAACAAAGAGCAUGCAACAUCCUAUAUUCAUUUAACAUAUCUGCCUAAAAGCCUUGCUUAAAAAAGUGAACCAACAAACAUACAGCUGGUGCAGAAUUCAGUAACCCCCUUGGCUGAAACAGACUGUUUCAGGAAGAUGUGGUCAUUCUCUAAUUUAAAUUAAUUUUAAGGAGCAGGAAAAAUCACGUGCUAAAUAGCUUCUAAUGUUUGAUGGAAGGCUCAACACAAUCUCAGGGCAUGCAAGAAAUGAGGAUGGUAGGAGUCUUUGUGGAGAAAUGGAGCCCAGCAUUGCAAUUCAGUUGGGUGAAUGGACAUUAAUGAAUAAAAGCUAUUCUGGCCAAAAAAUAUCUGCAAGGAGCAGGCACCCUCGAUACUAGAGGAACUUCAUCCCUGCUGUGGCUGACGAACUGCUUCUGACCUGCUGAGUUGCUGUGGCAAGUUACUUCACUGCUUUGUGCCUCAGUUGCUUCAUCUGUAAAAAUAAGCAAGCAAACAAAGGAGAGACUCUUUAUAAAAGCACUUUUAAAGCUUCUGGUGUGUGCGUAAAGUGUUCGUACAAGUGAGGCCUGUUUUGAAGGUUUAAGUAAUGCACAGGCUGUAUUCUGGCCCUCAGUUUUCUAUUUUGUAAUACAGACAUCCAUUUCUCUCAGUGAAAAUUAAGGCUCCAUCGUGGAAGACAACUUAAAAAGGAGCCUUGCCACAGGAACCCAAAGUCUAAACAGGCACAACUCCAUUUCCAGGACAAUGGAAACAGUGGCAUAGAGAAGUGCCCUGUUCAGCCCGGCUCGUUCAGCACAGUGGUGCUCACGAGGCGCAGGACCUCACCAUGCCGGCUGCAUGCGU
rnacentral:lncRNA from 1 species